CGGACAGAAUCUGUCGGUAUUGGCCGGUCCUCUACUUUUCUGACUGCGGACUACAUUUCCCAUAAGUUUCGGUGGUUCGAGUCAGCUUUUUCGCGCUUUCUUUUCUGCGCCAGAGUUUGUGGGAGUGUCCCCCUGGUGAGGGGAGGAGUUGGCAAUACUACUCAUGUGGUGUGCCCUUCUUAUUAGUGCCUCACUUUGGGUGGUAUUUGUGCUGAUGUCUUACUGCCGGUGAUCAUUUGGUUAAGUUCUGUUGAUUGUUAAGCUGCCAAAACCCAGCAAGGCAACACAGAAAAAGUACAAAUACACAAACCCCGUUGGAGUCAUGGUAGUAGUAGAGUUCUAAAUCCU